AUGUGGGAGAGGCGGACGCACGCGAGGAUCCUGGUCUCGGACGCCGACGCGGGCUGCAUCAUCGGCAAGGCCGGCUACGACAUCCACGCCAUGGAGGCCCGCUCCGGGGCCCACAUCAAGCUCUCCGGGCGAGGCCGGCCCCUCCCCGGCACGGACCGCCGGGUCGUCCUCGUCUCCGGCCUCUUCCGCACCGUCAUGGACGCCGCGGAGCUCGUCCUCGAGAAGCUCUUCUACCUGGGUGACCAGGUGAUUGACGCUGAGGCCACCGUGGUGCUCGUGGUGCCCGACGCCUGCUGCGGCGCGCUCAUCGGCAAAGGAGGGGAGGUCAUCAAGUCCUUAGCUGAGGAGUCAAAUGCUGGAAUCACGGUCUCGCCCUACGACAUCUGCUACGGUUUCCAUGAUAGACUGGUAACGAUCACUGGACACUUGGACAAUCAGCUGCAGGCAAUAUUUCUUAUACUGUCCGAGUUGCUUGACGACGUCCGCUACUCAUCCUCCGUUGCAAGCCUUAGUUUUCCAAGUUCAAGUGUUCGGUAUGGCGGUGAUGGGCAAGAUGAGCAUGUCGAAAGAUACCACAGCAGGCCUGACACACCCGUGAGAUCGCCUGACUACGACAGCCAUGUGCAAGGGACCCUCACCAUGGGUGUCGCGGACGAGUACGUGGGCGCCGUCAUCGGCUAUGGCGGGAGGACCAUACAAGAGAUCGAACGGGUUACGGGCGUGCAGAUCAAAAUCGUGAAGGGGGAGUUCAUACCUGGGACGAACGAGAGGGAGGUGGUGAUCAGCGGGACACGGGAGGCGGUCGAUGCGGCGGAGGCGAUGAUCAUGCAGCGGGUCUCGGACGCCACCAAAGGUCGCCGCCGGCAGCAGGGUGGCGGCGGUGGCGACAGGCGGCCUGUGAAGGAAGUGGAGUAG
rnacentral:rRNA from 1 species